rnacentral:rRNA from 1 species
CCUACGGGAGGCAGCAGUGAGGAAUAUUGGUCAAUGCACGAGAGUCUGAACCAGCCAAGUAGCGUGAAGGAUGACUGCCCUAUGGGUGGUAAACUUCUUUUAUAAAGGAAUAAAACGCGGCACGUGUGCCUUUUUGCAUGUACUUUAUGAAUAAGGAUCGGCUAACUCCGUGCCAGCAGCCGCGGUAAUACGGAGGAUCCGAGCGUUAUCCGGAUUUAUUGGGUUUAAAGGGAGCGUAGAUGGGUUUGUAAGUCAGUUGUGAAAGUUUGAGGCUCAACCGUAAAAUGGCAAUUGAUACUGGCAGUCUUGAGUACAGAUGAGGUAGGCGGAAUUCGUGGUGUAGCGGUGAAAUGCGUAGAUAUCACGAAGAACCCCGAUUGCGAAGGCAGCUUACUAAACUGUGACUGACAUUGAUGUUCGAAAGUGUGGGUAUCAAACAGGAUUAGAUACCCGAGUAGUC